AUUAUUGAGGAGUCAGAUGCUGGAAAUGAAUUGGGUUGCUUAAUCCAGCCAGCAGAAUCUAGUUUGAAGUUGGAUGAUAAACAAGAUGAUGUUAAAAACUCUAUCUCAGCAACACCAGCGGUUGAGUCAGUUGAGCUUAGUGGUUCGUUUUCUAGGUGCGAGAGAACAAAGAUAGAAGCUAUUCAUAGUGUAUGUGCUCCAGAAAGGCAGGAGGUGGGACCUAUUGCUGAUGGAUGUUCUGGUGUUAAUACUGAGGAAAAGUUACAGACUGAAGUAAAAAGCAUUGAUGAAAAUUUAGGGGAAGUUAGGACAGCACAAAGUGAAUCUCUACCCGAUAAUUAUAAUAGGCAACCAUCCAUUCCUGUAACUGAAAGUGCAAUUAAAGAGUGCGUUACAGAUUCUCUUACUGCGAGUAUUGAGAUUUUGGCUAGUCAGCAUAAUCCAACCAACUGUCAUAGUGGGAAUACAAGUGGUCUACCAAGUGAACAUCACAAACAAGUAGAGAAACAAAUAUCUGUUAGCAAAGAGUCGAGUUUGGGUGAUGGAAAGACGCAUGGAUGUGCUGUUGAUAGUGAAACUUGUACCUCUAAUGCCAGUCCUCCCUCUCUUGCUGCUUCAGAGCUGGAAGUAGGCAAAGAUCUUUCAACCGAAACCAGAAUGAUUACAUCAGAGGAACCUUGUGUGCAGAGGAACAAAUGCAGUCUUACUAUUGAGGGAUGCAACAAAGAUACUUCCUCGGUUGAACAUGCUGAAGCGGUUUUCUCAAAAGGCUUAAAAGAUAAGCUACAGGCUGAAUGUAAUAGCAAACUAUGUGAGAAUGAGGAGGCGUCUGUAAGUGAGAAUUGCUUAGAUACAAGAGACACUAAGAAUCAAGAAGGCAGCUCCAAGGGUCAGACAGAGAAGGUUUCUGCAAUGCAGAUGUCAGAUGGACUGACUACUUCUACUGAGAAAGAGGAGAGUAAUCUAGAAGGCCAUUCCCCACUUAAUCUUGGUACUUCAGAGGCAUGUACAGUAUCAGAGAUCUCCGAGCCGUCAAAACAGAAUAAUGGCAAUGGUAUUAAUGCUCUAGAAGGUCCGAGUAAUAUACAAGAGACUUCUGUUUCUGCUGAAUUAGUGGAGAGGCCAGUAUCUGAGAAUAUAGAAACUGGAAAUGAUGCUGAUAGGGUCUCCGAAGGAUAUGCAUGUGGUGGAGACCACAUCUCCUUGUCUGUGCCUGCUGGAUCCAUGGACAUAUGUAGGGAAACCUUCUCCCAUGUGGUUGAUGUUGAUUCAACUAGUGUGGAUGUCUCUGGUGGUAAGGAUACGGAGGAAGUGCUGCCUGUAGAAACUGAGUUGGUGGGAUCUUGCGUGCGUGACGAUGAGCUUAGAUCCUCCUCUGUGGCAGGAGAAUCUGAACAAAUCUCUGAUCAAGGUCAUGGAUCACAAUUUGAAUCUUCCACAUUGAAUAAUCAAGCAUCGGAUGUUGGUUUUGACUGUAGGAACUUAAUCUUAGGUGGUGACCCAGUGAGUGGUCGAUCGCUUUCUGGUAGUGGUGCAAUUGCAACUGAAAUAAUUGAUCAUGACGAUAAGCUAAAGCCAGUAUCAGUUAUGGGAGGGUCAGAUCAUUUUUCAGGAAAGGAAGAAAUGGAAGCUGUUCUCAGCAGGGAAGCAGAAGUGUCAACACUGAAGGAGUCUUCUGAGGGGGCACGCCAGCUAGGUCUCCUUUCCGACGAUGGAAAAGAUGCAUCUAGUGACUGCCAUAUGAAAAUAAAACCUAUGGUUGUUGAUCAGGAUGUUCUUAUUCAGGAUAAUUCCAAUUCAGCAAGCCACAUUGAGCAAGCAGCGAGUGCCGAAGCAAAUAUUGAGGGUCCUGGUGCUAGAGCUGAGGCAGCCCCUAUUGUGAAGAAUCAGGAGAUGGAAGUAGAAACAGUGAAAUUCGGA
rnacentral:misc_RNA from 1 species